rnacentral:rRNA from 1 species
UACGUAGGGGGCAAGCGCUGUCCGGAUUUAUUGGGCGUAAAGAGCGUGUAGGCGGUUCGGUAGGUCCGUUGUGAAAACUCGAGGCUCAACCUCGAGACGCCGAUGGAAACCCCCGAACUAGAGUCCGGAAGAGGAGAGUGGAAUUCCUGGUGUAGCGGUGAAAUGCGCAGAUAUCAGGAAGAACACCCGUGGCUAGGGCGGCUCUCUAGUACGGUACUGACGCUGAGACGCGAAAGCGUGGGGAGCGAACAGG